GACUUCCUAAAUCUCAUUCAUACUCUGGCCAGAGAUUCUAAAUCAUAUCAUAGAGUAUUCUCCCCCAAACGGUUUGAAGGUUAGAGAUCCCUUGUUGCGCAUUCACUUGCUGUUGGAAAUGUGCCCUAAAACCAAUCAUAUGAUGAUACUUUACGGACAUUUCACAUGUUAAACUAAUCUAGUUUAAUAUCAAGGGCAUAGAUUAUUGUUUUAAGCCGUCUUAUAUAAAUGUUAUAUGCUUAAACGAUAAGUCCAAGGAAUAUGUGAUUGGGAGAAUACGAUCUAAAGAAGUUAGAUUCAUGAGACCAUUCUCUCGUAGACACAUCCUAAACGUUCCUGAUCAUAGGAUUGCCAAUUGGGCAUUGACAGUUCGUUAAGAUCAGUACGUACUGUGUCUUCUCUCAGGGAGAGUGACUAGUCUCGAGUCAUUGGUGUGUGUGACAUCAAGACAAGUACGUAGGUGCUCAAUAGAGAAUGAGUUCACUGAACACGAUCAACGAAGAGUUCUCAUAUUCAUGUCACAUGAGAACUCAUGGUUGGGAUAAUGCAAAGUAGUCCUUUGACCUGAGGCAUCACAGCUGUCUUGUGGUUAAGUCCUUGAUCUUUGAUUAUGUCAAAAGUCACUCCAAAAGGAGGGUGUCCACGGCAUCGUUGGGGUUAAGCCACUUAGUCAUGGAGGCAAGUGAAUGUGCAACAAGGGAUCUCUAACCUUCAAACCGUUUGAGGGAGAAUACUCUAUGAUAUGAUUAAGAAUCUUUGGCCAAAGUAUGAAUGAGAUUUAGGAAAGCGUUCCAAAUCACAUUCAAGGUAAUCAUAUAAGCACACGAAUCACAUUGGAUAGUAGACAUGAAUAAAUAAACUAUCAAACCAAAUAAUGUGGUCAAGAGUAUUAUAUUAGAGAAAGACCGUAUUGCAUUUGUAAUCCUAAACUGAAUAGGUUCUCCACCUCUUCUGA
rnacentral:lncRNA from 1 species